CGUGGAGGCACGUGGAGGCGCGUGGAGGCGCUGCAGAAUCUUUGAGCAGCGCGUGGGGGCGCGUGCGGUCUCCGAUGGCGGCGAGAUAUCCACGAAUGUGUAGAUCGGCGCUGGACGAUCUCAGUGGUACCUUCAAAAGUGAAAUCGGAGCAAUAUUCGCAGCGGUGAUGCAAAGGGCAGUGGUCUGUGCAGUGUGAGACUUCUUAAUGACUGCGGUUGCAGGUCCGGAACCCAGGGAUGACGACUGGAUGACGUCGGAGGUUCAACGGCAAGAGGCUACAGCGGCAGUUGUGAUGGCGGAAGCGCUUAGUGAAAAAAGGAAGUCACACUAAUGAAGACAAGACUGCUAAGAAAAAGGUCAGAGCAGUGGCUCUG
rnacentral:lncRNA from 1 species